rnacentral:rRNA from 1 species
UAGGGAAUCUUCGGCAAUGGACGAAAGUCUGACCGAGCAACGCCGCGUGAGUGAAGAAGGUUUUCGGAUCGUAAAACUCUGUUGUUAGAGAAGAACAAGGACGUUAGUAACUGAACGUCCCCUGACGGUAUCUAACCAGAAAGCCACGGCUAACUACGUGCCAGCAGCCGCGGUAAUACGUAGGUGGCAAGCGUUGUCCGGAUUUAUUGGGCGUAAAGCGAGCGCAGGCGGUUUCUUAAGUCUGAUGUGAAAGCCCCCGGCUCAACCGGGGAGGGUCGUUGGAGACUGGGAGACUUGAGUGCAGAAGAGGAGAGUGGAAUUCCAUGUGUAGCGGUGAAAUGCGUAGAUAUAUGGAGGAACACCAGUGGCGAAGGCGGCUCUCUGGUCUGUAACUGACGCUGAGGCUCGAAAGCGUGGGGAGCAAACAGG